rnacentral:sRNA from 1 species
GCCAGGUGUGGUGGUGCAUGCCUGUAAUCCCAGUGGCUUGGGAGGCUGAGGCAGGAGGAUUGCAAGUUCAAAGCCAGCUUCAGCAAAAGUGAAGUGCUAAGCAACUUAGUGAGACCCUGUCUCUA